CCGAGUUUUACAACUCCCAAACCCAAUGUGAACCGUUACCAAAACUGUUGCCUCGGCGGGGUCACGCCCCGGGUGCGUCCAAAGCCCCGGAACCAGGCGCCCGCCGGAGGGAACCAACCAAACUCUUUCUGUAGUCCCCUCGCGGACGUUAUUUUCUUACAGCUCUGAGCAAAAAUUCAAAUGAAUCA
rnacentral:misc_RNA from 1 species